GUUAAGCAAUGCGAAUAUACACAAACGCUGUUGUUUUUACUCUAAACCAACCCCCAUCAACCUUCUAAAAAUUUGUACAAGUUUCCAGAGCAUACAGCACAGUUGCCGCACCGGCACUGGCACAAAUCUUAUUCUAAGACACUGUUUGGUGUGGUGGAGAAGGUGAUCGUAGAGGCCUAGAGCAGCUACCAAUGAGACCCGGAGGACCACCCGGACCGCCUGGACUGCCUCCUCUGUUCGGUGGCUUUUGUGAUUUCAUAGGUUCAUGUUUGAGUGUUCUGUGCUGCUGCUGGCUGUUACAAGACUGCUUUGGUGGUGGGCCACCACCAGGGCCUGGACCUCCUGGCCCACCAGGGCCUCUGGGACCCCCUGGCCCACCAGGGCCUUUGGCACCUCCUGGUCCACCAGGGCCACCUGGACCCCCACCCCCGCCAUGAAAAAUGAAAUGAAUGAUACAUGGAGAAUGGAUUCAUGGCAAGGCAGCUGCUUGCUUAGCCAUAUAUAAUUGGGUUAGCUUAUCAGUUAAUUAUAAUGCCGUAUGUAAUGUAACAAUAUAUAUAUCGCUUUGUAAAUUGUAAUGUAACCAAUCUCUGAGAGUCAGAGUGAGUGAGAGUCAUGGUCAUGGCUGAGUUUUAUUAGUCACUGUGUCUGUCUGUCUGUCUGUCAUUUGAGUUUGCCAGAGGCUUUUUAAUCGGCCUCUCUCUCUACCGUUCGGAAUAAAAUAAAAUAUAUUUAUUUAGCUCAU